CUUCCCUAGAUUAUGGGCUUCCCUGCCCCUCAGCUUCUCAUUCCUAUAUAAACCUGAAAUUAUACUAUGUGCCCUUUUGGUGCUCUCUUUGAGUGCCCUCGCCCCCCAGUCGUGGCCAAGCCAAGUCUGCUAGCCAAGUUUAGUCUACUAUUAUCUUAUCAUUUUCUGCUCUGGACUCUUCCAGAUGCCUGUGGUUGUACUCUCCUCAUAUCUACAAUAAAAAUCUUCCUGUCAACCACACCUUUGAGUGGUCUUGUUCUCACUUUAUACACUAGGAACAGCCUCCAGUCUUGUUAAAGAACUUGAAUGUUAAAUGGCCUGUGGCUUAUGCCUGUAAGCCCACAGUUUGGAUUUGGAGGCAUGAGUCUGUGGUCAUCAUCAGCUACAUACCCAGUUCCUUGUCUCAAGCAAAUGAUAAAACACAAAUCAGAGAGAAUUCAAAUAUUGAUCUGUAAUGAAUAAGAACGAAACAUGUCGCAGGAUCACGUUGUGAUCAUAGACUGGAAAAACCUUGCUGUGGUGUGGUCCAGCCCUAGCACACACCUCUAACCCAAGAGCUUUCUGUAAACAGGAUUAAAUAAAGUCAGCCGUAGGUCAGGAGGCAGAACACGCAACCAAUUGGCAGUGAGUGUACAUAAGACAACCCAGGAAAGAGAAAGGAUGGUCUUUGAGUUGAAGGGUAUUUAAAACAGUGUGGAGAAAUCGAAGGGACCUUUUCCUUCAGGGAUGUCAGUGGUGAAGGAAGGUCAGCUGGAUGCUUUCUCUGCCUCUCUGAGCUAGCAGGUUUUCACCAUAGCAUCUGGCUCCUAAGUCUUCACUUGUUUCUCUAGGAAACUUCCUGCGAUCUCCCCUAUCAAAGACCAUGUUGUAUGAAUCUGCUGGCUGGAGCUUACAGAAAAAGGGUUUUUUACUGAGGAGGAGCUCGUAGGAACCACACCUGCAAAUGGGUAAAGACAAUUUGGUAGAGGAAGCCAUUGAACUACAGAACAGUUGCAAAAGUUUUCUCCACCAUCACUAUGGGCUGGGGACUUCCUCAAUCAACCGCAGAAGGCGGUGGACAUAACCCUGAACCUUCGCUCCAGGCUGUGGUGUUAAGAGUUCCUGAAUCAGCGGUGGAAUGUGGACACAUUGCUGAAUGAUUGCUCUGGGUUGUGGAUCUGAGCUAAGAGUUCCUGAAUCAGCUGUGUGGGCUACUCCCUCUUAGGUGGGGUGGCUGUCAGUAGCAGAGAGAAAGCACACUCUUAGCAGCCAACACCUGAGAAGCUACACGAUAGUCCCUCUGUGCCGAAAAGGGACCAAGAUAAACAGACCACAGUUAUAUACUGUCAUUGGUCAAGUGAAAGUUCUUGGGUCAAAAGUGCUUACUUUUGUGUAUUUGUGAUAAGGCCAGAGGUAAGUCUUGAGGAACAUUCCUCAGGUCUGUCCACCCACCUUGGUUUUGGAGACAGAUUCUUACUGGCCUUGGGCUAGACAAUUAGACUAGCUCUGCUGGCCAGAUAGUUCCAGGGAGCUGUCUGCCUUUGUCUCCCCUGCUCUAUAGGAUUAUAAAACCCUGCCAUUAAAGCUGGGUUUUUCCAUGGGUUCUGAUAUGCCUUUAAUCCCAGCACUCAGGAGGCAGAGGCAGGAGGAUCUCUGUGAGUUCAAAGCCAACAUGGUCUAUAGAGCAAGUUCCAGGAUAGCUAGGAUUACAUAGAGAAAAACCAAUAUAUACAUUGUGUAUAUAUGUAUAUGGUGUAUAUGUGUGUGUACAUUUGUGUGUAUGUAUGCAUGUAUCUUUGUGUGUGUGUAUGUGUGUAUAUAUGUGUAUGUGUGUAUGUGUGUGUGCGCCACUGCACUUGUGUUAAGUCAGAGAAUAACUACAUCGUGCUGGCUUUUUUCUUUACAUGGGAUCUAGGGAUCAAACUCAGGUUGUCAGACUUUAUGGCAACUGCCUUUGCCAUUGGUCUAUCUUGUUGGCCUCAGGUCCCCAUGCUUUCACGAUGAGCACUGUAUAUGCUGAGGUAGCCAGACAGCCUCCAAGGGGCUUACCUUUGAGUAUAGGUAUCAUAGUGCAGUAUCUAUCAGUCUGAGAGCAUCCGGUAAAGAAUGGUACACAUGAAUACCAUGCUGAUGCUGAAGGAAGGCAGGAAAGCCAUUCAAUUGCUUCUAGUCCUUUUAGCACUCAUGGGCUUUACUAUCCAGUCUACCCUAAAGAUAGACUUAAAACAAUUUGAUUUGAGUUUCAUUCUGGGGAAGUAUGGGUUAGCUCAGCAUUGAAGUGAAAUCCCUCAAGCACACAUUUUAGGCAAACUGAGAAGUUCUAAACUAUGCUCAGGGGGUUAGGACAGGCACAGAGAAGCACAGGUGAGGAGGGCUAUUGGACAGAUGCUCUCCGGGCACUGUUCCCCUGUGGCUGUUCUGUUGUCCCAGGCUUGACUUUGAGGCUGGCAUUUAGCACAAGCUUUCUUUUAGUUCCCUAGGUUUCUGGCCAUCCACAAAGUCAACGUGUCCUCUACGAACACAGGAGUCCGGUGACAAAAAAAGAGUUGAAAGACAGCAACGAUCAACAGGAAAUAAAACAUUUUUAUUGAGUGUCCAUGUAAUAUGUUAAGUCAUUUUUUUUAACAACAAUCAGAAAACUACCAUGGGGUUCACUACACAAAGUGAAACAGAAUUUAAACCACUUAUCAAAAAAUGAAGGGAAAGUACAGCUAAGGGAAUUGGCUCGCGGGUCACAAGCCUUAUGGCAGAAGAAAACACCCCAACAUUUCUACGAGACACAGAGAAAAUCCACACAUAGAAACACUCAAGCAGGCAGUAAGUAUACACAAAGGCAACUAGGAUCUUUCUAGGGCAUCAGCUUCUAAGACUUCACACUGCAUUGUCAGAAAGGUACAUGUGGCUUAUCAGAGGAUGGAUCUUGGUCAGAAAGCAGGUCCAGUCACCGGCUCACAAGAGAAUGAUAUAGUACCAACUAACUCUAUGGUGACAAUCCCAUGUUGGCAGUGUUGCAAGAGAAUGUGCUAGUAUCAUUGUAAUGCAGGAAGUAAUGUCAGUUCGGCAGCUCGGAGCUGCGUCCUCGGAAAUGUUCCAUUGUGUACAACUCAAGUCGGGAGAUGAUGAAAUUAAAUGUCAGUGUCUGGUAUUUAAGGUGUUCCUUCUCUUUGGUAGGACUUGAUCCCUUAGAUAGGAAAGCCCCUCAUUUGAGUCUCCUGUUUAAACUGCUGUUUAAUCUCACCUAUGAGUAUGUGUUUCCUAUCAUCUGUGGUUUUAAUGUUGGAAACGUGCUGUUCAUCCAUAGGGAAGGAUUUGCUCCUUGUCCUGUGUGUCUGUUCUAGGUCUGAAAGUUUGCUGUGAUGGGAGUGAAGGGCAAAGGGUUUGCCUCUUCUCUCAUGAGGGAAGAAUCACAACCAGGGGUUAGCUUUUGUGUUGUGUGUGCAGGAGGAGCAGCCGACCCCGUGCUUAAAGUCUACCACCAGCCCUAUUGGGGAUUCUCUUGAGUUUUGUCCAAAACACGGAGCUAAUUCCUAAAGAUCAAGCACGAGGCCAUGCUUAGCAUUCCUCCAUUUUAUUUUGGUAGAUGUGAAGAUGGUCUCUCCCUUCAGGAUGUUGCCAUUCUCUGUGACCUGGAGGUGAAAACGGGCCACAAUAGCAAGUGGGAGAAGAGUCUAGAAGCGGUGUUAGGUAGCAGGCUCACUUCCUGAAGUGGCUGUCUACCGGCAGCAGGACAAAUGUGACUAGUGCACAGUGUUGACAAAAUGCUGUGUGUUCUCCCACACCCGGUCUAUGUAUCUUUCUGUCCUAUGCAUAGCUGUUCAGUUCUGAAUUGGUCCUUAGGAAUGAGAACUGUUUGUGCUACACACAUGUUGGGCAGUGCAGUAAGAGGGAAUGGCAGUAUUGUUACAAUAUCACUACGGAGUAAGUUGAGUGCUAUCCACUGAGGAAACUACGUGUCUAAGCACACGGGGCAGUCACAGUGUUACACAGAGCAGUCCUUAAGACUCAUAUGGAAUGACUAGUGGCUUCAUAAUAGUGCCAUUUACUACAGAAUAACAUUGAGAACAUUUAAAAACUCCUCCUAAGUCAAGCAUCUAGUGUACAUAAGAGGUUGCUUCAGUUUGCGAGAACUUGUUCUUGGUUUUGUUUCACCUUUGUUUAAAGGACAAAUUAAAACUCACGUAAAAAGAGCAUAUAAAAAGAUCACUAGCUGUCUGUUUUGGCUUCGUCGAAGUGCAUUCAGAACUAUGGCUAACUGUUAUAUUCCGUCUUUUCGUGGGGUUACAAUACUGUCUGUUUACCACAAAGUCACUUUGUGGAAUAAGCACAGAUUGCUGCGUUAAAAAUAUUCUGCAUUCCUUCUAAUCUGGUUUUGUAUAAUAAAAUAUUUUGUUACAAAGUCUCACGCGCAUACCUUUUGGAAUCAAUAUUGGGGUGAAAUCC